rnacentral:rRNA from 1 species
UACGGAGGAUGCGAGCGUUAUCCGGAUUUAUUGGGUUUAAAGGGUGCGUAGGCGGGCAUUUAAGCCGGCGGUCAAAUGUCGGGGCUCAACCCCGGCCUGCCGUCGGAACCGGGGGCCUUGAGUACCGGAGAAGUACGCGGAAUGCGUGGUGUAGCGGUGAAAUGCAUAGAUAUCACGCAGAACCCCGAUUGCGAAGGCAGCGUACCGGCCGGUCACUGACGCUGAGGCACGAAAGCGCGGGUAUCGAACAGG